CGUCUGUGGGCGUGGAACAGGCAUUGGGUUCUCCUGCUGGGAAAAAUGAAGUAGUCCUUCAUUCUACCUCGUGGAGAAGAGAAUUUGAAGGAUCACGGGAACUUGAAGAAUUUUUCAACAACAUAGAGCUCACGAAUCAGAUUCUCCAGUCAGAUGAUGCCAUAUUUAUCAAGAGAUCUAGCAAUGAAAGAAUUAUCUCUGUUAAGGAAACCCAUCAUCCUCAGGAAGUCCUUCUGCUUCUUUGUCCUUCACAAGAUCAACUGAAGUUCUCUAGCUGUGUCAAAAGGCUGAAUUUCAGGUAAGGAAAGAAAGUUAAACUGCUUUGGUUUUUGAAUGAU
rnacentral:lncRNA from 1 species